rnacentral:lncRNA from 1 species
AUUCCAGGCUCUGUGAACUAAGUGACUGAAGCUGAUUGACACAGGUCAAGGGGACUUCAAGGAAGAAAGCCAGCCUUAGACUGACAUCAGAGAACCAAACUCCGGUGUCUAAGCUCAAGUUCCUGCCUUGACUUCUCUACAAUAAUGGACUGUAACCGAGAAUGGAAAGCCAAAGAAAGUCCUUCCUCUUCUAAGCUGCUCUUGGUCGUGGUGUUUCAUCACAACAACAGAAGAGAACCUAGGACAAUCACCUUACCUGUGAGAGCGAGGAGCCUAUGCAGUAAUACAAGUAAUUGGGAAGACACUGGCUCAGAGCCUGUCUCUGGUGACCACUGAAUUGUCCAGCACCUGAGGUCCCUGGAGCCCACGGACUGAGCCCAUCUGGGCUAAAAGAGGUCCCAUACAUCCUUCUCAAAGGCCUAUAUAAAUGCCAAGCAGAGUUAUAGCAGGAGGUUAGAAUCCUGAGAACUGUUUGGAAUAAGGAAUCCAAAUAUUGUCUUCCAGCUUCACCUUGUCACGACAGUCCUCGCCAGGGACAGCUGAGCAUCUACAUCUCCAUUUAUGCCGUGUGCACGCAGUACCAACAGAGGUCAGAGGAGGGUGUCGGAUCCCCUGGAACUGGAGUCACAGAUUCUUCCUUGCGUGGAUGAAACAGUCCCAACGAACACUUUAAAAAGACAAAUGUUCCCGACAGCACUGGUUGAAUUCAAAACUCGGCAGAUCCAUGUUCUUAUCCUUAGACAAGAGAGGGGCCAUAACAAGAUGGAAUGACGGAACAGACGUGAGAGAUGAUGGUACAGUGACUCGGGUAACCCCAGAAAAGGGACAGCUCUUCUACAGCUCAGUGGGGACAGGGACAAAAAGAAACAAUUUCAUUUCAGUCCACCCAGAGGGUCUGCACUUCUCGGAGCCAGAAGGUGGAGAAGAGUAGGGAUGGAGGAAGUUCGAAGUUUUAGGAGUCUGCUCUUGGGUCCCUAGGCAUGAGGACAAGCUUUUCCUGUACUCAAUGCUCAUCUCUCAGUUGUGCCCACAUUGGUACACAUUACUUGCUUUCAACUGCUGCUGCUGCUGUUUCCUAAUUCAAUAAAGAUAUGGCUGGCUCAGCA